GAUGAACGCUGGCGGCGUGCCUAAUACAUGCAAGUCGAGCGAACAGACGAGGAGCUUGCUCCUCUGACGUUAGCGGCGGACGGGUGAGUAACACGUGGAUAACCUACCUAUAAGACUGGGAUAACUUCGGGAAACCGGAGCUAAUACCGGAUAAUAUAUUGAACCGCAUGGUUCAAUAGUGAAAGACGGUUUUGCUGUCACUUAUAGAUGGAUCCGCGCCGCAUUAGCUAGUUGGUAAGGCAACGGCUUACCAAGGCAACGAUGCGUAGCCGACCUGAGAGGGUGAUCGGCCACACUGGAACUGAGACACGGUCCAGACUCCUACGGGAGGCAGCAGUAGGGAAUCUUCCGCAAUGGGCGAAAGCCUGACGGAGCAACGCCGCGUGAGUGAUGAAGGUCUUCGGAUCGUAAAACUCCGUUAUUAGGGAAGAACAAAUGUGUAAGUAACUAUGCACGUCUUGACGGUACCUAAUCAGAAAGCCACGGCUAACUACGUG
rnacentral:rRNA from 1 species